CUCCUCUCAGAGUUGUACCUGGAGAGUUUCCAGUACUCUACCAGUCUCGGCUAAGGGAGGGAGAGUCAAGCCAGGGCAUACCCUUUCCAUUCCUGGCUAGGGCAGUAGCUAGCGAGUGGAAGGCAAUCUGCUACAAGU